rnacentral:rRNA from 1 species
AACGAACGCUGGCGGCAGGCCUAACACAUGCAAGUCAAGCGAGACCUUCGGGUCUAGCGGCGGACGGGUUAGUAACGCGUGGGAACGUGCCCUUCUCUGCGGAAUAGCCACUGGAAACGGUGAGUAAUACCGCAUACGCCCUUCGGGGGAAAGAUUUAUCGGAGAAGGAUCGGCCCGCGUAAGAUUAGAUAGUUGGUGGGGUAAUGGCCUACCAAGUCUACGAUCUUUAGCUGGUUUUAGAGGAUGAUCAGCAACACUGGGACUGAGACACGGCCCAGACUCCUACGGGAGGCAGCAGUGGGGAAUCUUGGACAAUGGGCGCAAGCCUGAUCCAGCCAUGCCGCGUGAGUGAUGAAGGCCUUAGGGUCGUAAAGCUCUUUCGCCAGAGAUGAUAAUGACAGUAUCUGGUAAAGAAGUCCCGGCUAACUCCGUG